rnacentral:rRNA from 1 species
CCUACGGGAGGCAGCAGUGAGGAAUAUUGGUCAAUGGACGAGAGUCUGAACCAGCCAAGUAGCGUGAAGGAUGACUGCCCUAUGGGUUGUAAACUUCUUUUAUAUGGGAAUAAAACGUUCCACGUGUGGGAUUUUGUAUGUACUAUAUGAAUAAGGAUCGGCUAACUCCGUGCCAGCAGCCGCGGUAAUACGGAGGAUCCGAGCGUUAUCCGGAUUUAUUGGGUUUAAAGGGAGCGUAGGUGGAUUGUUAAGUCAGUUGUGAAAGUUUGCGGCUCAACCGGAAAAUUGCAGUUGAAACUGGCAGUCUUGAGUACAGUAGGGGUGGGCGGAAUUCGUGGUGUAGCGGUGAAAUGCUUAGAUAUCACGAAGAACUCCGAGUGCGAAGGCAGUUCACUGGACUGCAACUGACACUGAGGCUCGAAAGUGUGGGUAUCAAACAGGAUUAGAUACCCCAGUAGUC